GAAGGAUAAGUUUGGAAUUUUAAAUUUGUUGCCGAAAUAAAACCCUAAACCUAGUAAAUGUUAGACUAUAAAAGAAAUUUUUAUUCUUUUCUCUUUUUCUAUUCGGCUGGAAACGUUUUUAUUCAUAAAGAAGUUUUCAAAUUUCAUCGACGACAAGACCCGUCGACUGCUCGUGUUUCGGAGUCUACGCAGAGUUAGCUAUUUGCCAAGAUUCACGUGGAUAAGCAAGCUGUUUAUGAUUUGAAAGCUGGUCCACUCCGAUUCUUUUGAUUCUUCGGAGGUUUUUAUGUUAUUUAAACUAGUUACUGUUUUCGAACUCUUAGACCGCAGUAGAACUAGUUUAUUAUGUAUUACAUUGAUAUUACACUCUGGGAUUAUCGAUUAUUUAUUAUUAGCAUAUUUA